rnacentral:rRNA from 1 species
AACGUAGGAGCCAAGCGUUAUCCGAAUUCACUGGGCGUAAAGCGCGUGCAGGCGGUUCGGUAAGUUGGAUGUGAAAUCUCCUGGCUCAACUGGGAGAGGACGUUCAAUACUGUCGGACUAGAGGACGGUAGAGGGAGGUGGAAUUCCCGGUGUAGUGGUGAAAUGCGUAGAUAUCGGGAGGAACACCAGUGGCGAAAGCGGCCUCCUGGGCCGUACCUGACGCUCAGACGCGAAAGCUAGGGGAGCAAACGGG